CAGCCGCCGCGGUAAUACGAAGGGGGCUAGCGUUGUUCGGAUUUACUGGGCGUAAAGGGCGCGUAGGCGGGCGAAUAAGUCAGGGGUGAAAUCCCAAGGCUCAACCUUGGAACUGCCUUUGAUACUGUUUGUCUUGAGUUCGAGAGAGGUAAGUGGAACUGCGAGUGUAGAGGUGAAAUUCGUAGAUAUUCGCAAGAACACCAGUGGCGAAGGCGGCUUACUGGCUCGAAACUGACGCUGAGGCGCGAAAGCGUGGGGAGCAAACAGGAUUAGAUACCCUGGUAGUCCCUGUCUCUUAUAC
rnacentral:rRNA from 1 species